rnacentral:rRNA from 1 species
CGCGUAGGUGGUAGUGUAAGUCUGGGGUGGAGUCCCAGGGCUUAACCCUGGAACUGCCUUGGAAACUGCAUUACUUGAGUCAGUGAGGGGAGGGUAGAAUUCCUGGUGUAGCGGUGAAAUGCGUAGAUAUCAGGAGGAAGGCCUGUGGCGAAGGCGGCCCUCUGGCGCUGGACUGACACUGAGGCGCGAAAGCGUGGGGAGCAAACAGGAUUAGAUACCCUGGUAGUCCACGCCCUAAACGGUGGGCACUAGGUGUAGGGCUCGUAAGGGUUCUGUGCCGAAGGGAAACCAUUAAGUGCCCCGCCUGGGGAGUACGGCCGCAAGGUUGAA